rnacentral:lncRNA from 1 species
AACCCUAAUUCCGAAAUGUCAAAAGAGUCAAGCUCUCCCACUGGGGCCCACAGUAUGCUAUCCCUGUGUCCAAUCACCCCCCUUAUAUCCACAUCCCCCCUUGCCGUAAACCGAAAAUACUAUCACCUUCUUCAUAAAAGUAUAUGGGUCGUGUUUACUAAAAUAAAUUUUAUCUCACAACUCACUUCACUUCUCUGUGUGUGUGUGUGUGUCUCCCUCUCUCUCUCUAUAUAUAUAUAUACACCCAUAACCCCCUACUACCCCAUCACCACCUUCAUCUUCAACCUCACAAAACCUCAGUACUACAUAUAUAUAUAUAGAGAGAGAUAUAUAUAUAUAUAUAACAGGCUUCAUA